AACAAACGCUGGCGGCGUGCCUAAUACAUGCAAGUCGAACGGGGAAAGGCCUUCGGGCCCGGUACUAGUGGCGCACGGGUGAGGAAUAUAUGGAUAAUCUGCCCUCUGGCGGGGGACAACUAAGGGAAACUUUAGCUAAUACCGCAUAAGACCACAGUCUCUGAGGAGACAGGGGUUAAAGAUUUAUCACCAGAGGAUGAGUCCAUAUUUGAUUAGCUUGAUGGUGGGGUAAUGGCCUACCAUGGCUACGAUCAAUAGCUGGUCUGAGAGGAUGAUCAGCCACACUGGAACUGAGACACGGUCCAG
rnacentral:rRNA from 1 species